rnacentral:rRNA from 1 species
AGUGAACGCUGGCGGUAGGCCUAACACAUGCAAGUCGAACGGCAGCACAGUAAGAGCUUGCUCUUACGGGUGGCGAGUGGCGGACGGGUGAGGAAUACAUCGGAAUCUACUUUUUCGUGGGGGAUAACGUAGGGAAACUUACGCUAAUACCGCAUACGACCUACGGGUGAAAGCAGGGGAUCUUCGGACCUUGCGCGAUUGAAUGAGCCGAUGUCGGAUUAGCUAGUUGGCGGGGUAAAGGCCCACCAAGGCGACGAUCCGUAGCUGGUCUGAGAGGAGGAUCACCCACACUGGAACUGAGACACGGUCCAGACUCCUACGGGAGGCAGCAGUGGGGAAUAUUGGACAAUGGGCGCAAGCCUGAUCCAGCCAUACCGCGUGGGUGAAGAAGGCCUUCGGGUUGUAAAGCCCUUUUGUUGGGAAAGAAAAGCAGCAGGUUAAUACCCCGCUGUUCUGACGGUACCCAAAGAAUAAGCACCGGCUAACUUCGUG